UACGUAGGGGGGCUAGCGUUGUCCGGAAUCAUUGGGCGUAAAGCGCGUGUAGGCGGUUCGGUAAGUCUGCUGUGAAAGUCGGGGGCUCAACCCCGGGAGGCGGGUGGAUACUGUCUAGCUCGAGUCCGGAAGAGGAGAGUGGAAUUCCUGGUGUAGCGGUGAAAUGCGCAGAAUAUCAGGAAGAACACCAAUGGCGAAAGGCAGCUCUCUGGGACGGUACUGACGGCUGAGACGGCGAAAGCGUGGGGAGCGAACAGG
rnacentral:rRNA from 1 species